rnacentral:rRNA from 1 species
CCUACGGGCGGCAGCAGUAGGGAAUCUUCCACAAUGGGCGAAAGCCUGAUGGAGCAACGCCGCGUGGGUGAAGAAGGUCUUCGGAUCGUAAAACCCUGUUGUUAGAGAAGAAAGUGCGUGAGAGUAACUGUUCACGUUUCGACGGUAUCUAACCAGAAAGCCACGGCUAACUACGUGCCAGCAGCCGCGGUAAUACGUAGGUGGCAAGCGUUAUCCAGAUUUAUUGGGCGUAAAGGGAACGCAGGCGGUCUUGUAAGUCUGAUGUGAAAGCCUUCGGCUUAACCGGAGUAGUGCAUUGGAAACUGGUAGACUAGAGUGCAGAAGAGGAGAGUGGAACUCUAGGUGUAGCGGUGAAAUGCGUAGAUAUAUGGAAGAACACCAGUUGCGAAAGCGGCUCUCUGGUCUGUAACUGACGCUGAGGUUCGAAAGCGUGGGUAGCAAACAGGAUUAGAUACCCGUGUAGUC